rnacentral:rRNA from 1 species
CCUACGGGAGGCAGCCGUAGGGAAUCUUUCACAAUGGGCGAAAGCCUGAUGGAGCAACGCCGCGUGCAGGAUGAAGGCCUUCGGGUUGUAAACUGCUUUUAUAAGCGAGAAAUAUGAUGGUAACUUAUGAAUAAGGAUCGGCUAACUACGUGCCAGCAGCCGCGGUCAUACGUAGGAUCCGAGCAUUAUCCGGAGUGACUGGGUGUAAAGAGUUGCGUAGGUGGCAUAAUAAGUAGCUAGUGAAAUCUGGUGGCUCAACCAUUCAGACUAUUAGCUAAACUGUUAAGCUCGAGACCGUUAGGGGUAACUGGAAUUUCUAGUGUAGGAGUGAAAUCCGUAGAUAUUAGAAGGAACACCAAUAGCGUAGGCAGGUUGCUGGGACGGUUCUGACACUAAGGCACGAAAGCGUAGGGAGCAAACGGGAUUAGAUACCCGUGUAGUC